rnacentral:rRNA from 1 species
AGGUCUUGACAUCCCCGUGAACAACCCAAGAGAUUGGCGUCCCUUCGGGGGACAGGGUGACAGGUGGUGCAUGGUUGUCGUCAGCUCGUGUCGUGAGAUGUUGGGUUAAGUCCCGCAACGAGCGCAACCCUCGCCUCUAGUUGCUAACAGGUUAAGCUGAGCACUCUAAUGGGACUGCCGGUGACAAGCCGGAGGAAGGUGGGGAUGACGUCAAAUCAUCAUGCCCUUUAUGACCUGGGCUACACACGUGCUACAAUGGAUGGUACAGAGAGCAGCGAGGCAGCGAUGUGGAGCGAAUCUCAAAAAGCCAUUCUCAGUUCGGAUUGGAGUCUGCAACUCGACUCCAUGAAGUCGGAAUCGCUAGUAAUCGCGAAUCAGCAUGUCGCGGUGAAUACGUUCCCGGGUCUU